rnacentral:rRNA from 1 species
UACGUAGGGGGCAAGCGUUGUCCGGAUUUAUUGGGCGUAAAGAGCGUGUAGGCGGCCAGGUAGGUCCGCUGUGAAAACUCGAGGCUCAACCUCGAGAUGUCGGCGGAAACCAUCUGGCUAGAGUCCGGAAGAGGAAAGUGGAAUUCCCGGUGUAGCGGUGAAAUGCGCAGAUAUCGGGAAGAACACCCGUGGCGUAGGCGGCUUUCUGGGACGGUACUGACGCUGAGACGCGAAAGCGUGGGGAGCGAACAGG